UACGUAGGGUGCAAGCGUUGUUCGGAAUUACUGGGCGUAAAGGGCGCGUAGGCGGCCUGCUAAGUCGAACGUGAAAUCCCCGGGCUCAACCCGGGAACUGCGUCCGAUACUGGUUGGCUUGAAUCCGGGAGAGGGAUGCGGAAUUCCAGGUGUAGCGGUGAAAUGCGUAGAUAUCUGGAGGAACACCGGUGGCGAAGGCGGCAUCCUGGACCGGCAUUGACGCUGAGGCGCGAAAGCCAGGGGAGCAAACGGG
rnacentral:rRNA from 1 species